UUUUCAUCACAAUGAUGAUGAUGAUGAUGAUGAUGAUGAUCAUCAUCAUCAUCAUCAUCAUCAUCAUCAUCACCA
rnacentral:pre_miRNA from 1 species